UUAUUCCUUUCAAAUUAUUCCAAAGACUUAUUUAUAAUAAUUAAAGCCACAAGUUACCUAUAUCUCUUAAUUCUUCUUAUGAUAUAUAGAUUUAAACGAUAUAUAUAGCAUUUGUGCAGGUUGUAAAUUGAAGUUGAAAUCCAAAUUUUUGGAGCUAGUGAUUGGAGGUCAUCCAUAUGAUAUAAAAAUAAUAUUUCUUUAUGAAUAUAUAGUCUUUAAUGACCUGUAGAAAUUAAAGUUAAAAUGUAUAUAUUGAAAACACACCAUAUUGGAUGAAAUAAUGACAUUGGAGACCAUAUUUUGAAAAUAAUAAUUUGGAAACUAAUAUUGUGUUUGGGUUGUUUGUUGGAUUCUAAAGAAGCUUUGAGAAUCUAGGCCCCAAUACAUACAUGCAGUGAUAUUGAACCCAAGGCACCCGAACUACUGUUGAAGCUGCACACCGCUGCUAAUCUGCCGUCGGUCUCCUCUGCCUUGGUUCCAGAGGAAAAUAGCUUUAGAGGCGGUAAGAUUCGUGGACGCUUAGAGAAUGUGUAUCGAUGGUGAAUGGAGGCAAGGAGUCGAGAGUUCGAUUUCUCGAGGAUGUAGUCUUGUUUUACUUUUUUAUGGUUUUACAUGUAUUUUCAGCACUUUCUAUGUAACUCUUUUUUACUUUAAGUUAUGUUUUGUUUUAAAGACAAUGGGUACCCAUAUUCUACUUAUUUUAUGAAAGUAACUUUUGUCUUUACAAGUUUCUAAUAUAUUUAUGGUAUUU